rnacentral:rRNA from 1 species
UACGUAGGGGGCAAGCGUUGUCCGGAAUCAUUGGGCGUAAAGAGCGUGUAGGCGGCCUGGUAAGUCCGCUGUGAAAGUCCAGGGCUCAACCCUGGAAUGCCGGUGGAAACUGUCAGGCUCGAGUCCGGAAGAGGCGAGUGGAAUUCCUGGUGUAGCGGUGAAAUGCGCAGAUAUCAGGAGGAACACCUAUGGCGAAGGCAGCUCGCUGGGACGGUACUGACGCUGAGGCGCGAAAGCGUGGGGAGCAAACAGG